rnacentral:misc_RNA from 1 species
AAGUCGUAACAAGGUAACCGUAGGUGAACCUGCGGUUGGAUCAUUACAAAAUGAUAGCCUGUCUGGAGAAGCUUCGGCCUAUCCAGGUGGGUAUUAACACCUGUGCACCGUAUUGUUUUUUGGGUGGGAAUCUGUGGUCUUUUACUAGACUGCACUCCUGCCCAGCAUAUAAACCAUUUAAACUUGGCUGAGAUAAACGUUUAAUAGUAAACAACUUUUGACAACGGAUCUCUUGGCUCUC